rnacentral:rRNA from 1 species
UACGUAGGUGGCAAGCGUUGUCCGGAUUUACUGGGUGUAAAGGGCGUGCAGCCGGAGAGACAAGUCAGAUGUGAAAUCCACGGGCUCAACUCGUGAACUGCAUUUGAAACUGUUUCCCUUGAGUGUCGGAGAGGUAAUCGGAGUUCCUUGUGUAGCGGUGAAAUGCGUAGAUAUAAGGAAGAACACCAGUGGCGAAGGCGGAUUACUGGACGAUAACUGACGGUGAGGCGCGAAAGCGUGGGGAGCAAACAGG